rnacentral:rRNA from 1 species
GACGAACGCUGGCGGCGUGCUUAACACAUGCAAGUCGAACGGAAAGGCCCUGCUUUUGUGGGGUGCUCGAGUGGCGAACGGGUGAGUAACACGUGAGUAACCUGCCCUUGACUUUGGGAUAACUUCAGGAAACUGGGGCUAAUACCGGAUAGGAGCUCCGGCUGCAGGGGGGGGGUUGGAAAGUUUCGGCGGUUGGGGAUGGACUCGCGGCUUAUCAGCUUGUUGGUGGGGUAGUGGCUUACCAAGGCUUUGACGGGUAGCCGGCCUGAGAGGGUGACCGGCCACAUUGGGACUGAGAUACGGCCCAGACUCCUACGGGAGGCAGCAGUGGGGAAUAUUGCACAAUGGGCGGAAGCCUGAUGCAGCAACGCCGCGUGCGGGAUGACGGCCUUCGGGUUGUAAACCGCUUUCGCCUGUGACGAAGCGUGAGUGACGGUAAUGGGUAAAGAAGCACCGGCUAACUACGUG